CUCGUAGGCGGUCUGUUUAGUCGGAUGUGAAAGCCCUCGGCUCAACCGAGGAAUUGCAUUCGAUACUGGCAGGCUAGAGUCUAGCAGAGGGAAGUGGAAUUCCCGGUGUAGCGGUGAAAUGCGCAGAUAUCGGGAAGAACACCGGUGGCGAAGGCGGCUUCCUGGGCUAUGACUGACGCUGAGGAGCGAAAGCUAGGGGAGCAAACA
rnacentral:rRNA from 1 species